rnacentral:sRNA from 1 species
ACCUAUUAAUAUCAAAGGUUGUGAACGUAGUGAGAAUAUUGUAGACACUCUGUCUCAUCUGGGUAUAUUUUGUGAGUGGACUCUGGUUAGUUUUACUGAUUGGUGUUGUUGACUUAAUCUCACCUGCUGGAUGGCAGAGGAGUUAUGUCAGUUUUAAAGUGGAAGAUCUCAGAAUGGCUGGAAAGAGACCUAUCAGCUGAGAGCAGUCUUCACCCUUCACCCUGAUGCCAGCAGUCUUACCAGGACUCUGACCCUUUUUUCUUGGAAAAUCCCACGAGCCAUGAAGAGAUCGCAAUAAUCUCUCAUAAUGAACUCUUAUUUUAUGACUUGUCCUUUGCUUCAACCGCUUUCAAGAUUGAUCUUACAAUUUGGCAGGUUUUGUAAAUACUGUGGCCUUUUGUGUACCCAUUAAAUUUAUUUGCACUGAUAGUUAUUUUUAUUACAAAAAAAGAUUGGUUACAGUUUAAUUUCCUUGUUCAGUGGAGGCAAUGUUCACUGCAAUGUGUGAAUGCCAGGCCUUGCAUCCCGAUCCUGAGGAUGAGGAUUCAGAUGACUACGAUGGAGAAGAAUAUGAUGUGGAAGCACAUGAACAAGGACAGGGGGACAUCCCUACAUUUUA